UAAAACCAGGACUUUUUGGCUAGGGA
rnacentral:piRNA from 1 species